UCCUUAAAAGCCUUCCAAGAAUUCGAUGAAGCCUCUUCGAUGUUUUCUGAAUCACAUUUUCCCUUGUAUUCCUCCAUUAUUUUUCGAAACAUAGCACAAUCAUCAGCUUCUUGUGAAUUUUGCGCGUGUGCUGGUGAGACCUUUAAUAAGACAUGGAUGAUUAAGACUAUAUACGGUAUUUCUGACAGAGAAGAUGAGUCCAUAUUGUCCAAAUCCAUUGAUUUUACAUAAUUAAUUAGUUCAGGCCACGGGUUUUUCAGACGCAAAUCUUGAGGCAAUUCUGGUUGUGAUUGAGUAGCUAACUUUAGUUAGAUAUCCCUCUUAAAUAGGAACUUACUGGUAUAUUCAUGAGUCGAAAUUCGAAGUAUGCCGGCAAAGCCAACUGAAUUGAAGUGUAGCAGAGGAAUCUUGUGCGAUCGAAGGUACUCUUCUAAGCGAAAAAGAGGUUUUUCCUUUAAGUUUGAGGAUAAGACUACAGAAAAUUUUGAAAAAUACUCAAUGUUUUUAUCUAUUAAAGCUUCGGGGCUCUACAAACGUUAGAGUAUAUCGUCCAAACAGCCAUACCAUCUCUAAAUAUUCCAUUUCGACGUUUGGAUUAAGUUGUUGCAACAAAGAUGCCGUACAGCGAGCUCUGGAUUUUCCUUCUUGGUCGUACUGGAUAAAAAAGUUCAUUCCAUCCAUACUGAAAUCGACAGAAGUAUCAUCAACGACAGCAAAAGAGCCAAUCCCUAUUACGUCUAUUUAGUAUAAUUUCUUUAAAAUAUCCAAUACCUGGCAAAAUUAAAUUUUUUAAAGCUUCACACCCUACAGUAUUUGCAUACAAAAGACACACAUGCGACUUCUCAAUUGCGUUCUGUCCUUCAGCUUUCCAAAGCCGUACUUGUCUAUGAUUAAUAGUAAAGGAUUUAAUGAGUUUCAUACCUAUCGUAUUUUUGCAUUUUCGCAGAAGUUCCCAUACUAGUUCAAAAGUAUGACAAAACAGCUGGAAGUCGUUACGUGUAAAUUACAGGUAUGUAUGUAGGAAGGAAGAAGGAUGUUAAUAAGACAGCUUGAACAAAAUCUCUACGAAAAUAUAUCAAAUGAAAUAAAAAUAAAUUUGGCUUGUAACAAUAAAAAUGGUAAUUAAAGGGAACCGACGAUAUGACUAGGCCGGCUAAGUUUGAUAUUCUAAAAUUGUGAAGCAAAAUGAAACUACUUCCAUUAGGGAAAUAUGGGCUUCUUGAAAACAACUGUUAAACUUCUGUACCUAAUCAGCUUUUUUUGAGUAUAUGGCAAUAGUAUAGAGUCGGCGUGAUAGUGACUCAAAUACUCAUGAAGAAAGACAAACCAAC